GGCCUAAUGGAGUAAUGGUUAGCAUGCUGGGCUCUGAGUGAGGACUGAGUGGUCUGGGUUUGAGCCCUGGCUGGGGUCA